rnacentral:lncRNA from 1 species
AGGUAAUGUCCUAUAAAAACUGUAUUUUGUCAUGUGUAAUUAGUGAAAUUGAACAAAACUUAGAAUAAUUGGAAUUGGGAGUUAUAGGUGUGGCCACCAAUUGGAAAGAAGAAGUUUGAGACUCUAUCUUACCUCCCUGACCUUACUGACGUCGAAUUGGCUAAGGAAGUUGACUACCUUCUCCGCAACAAGUGGAUUCCUUGUGUUGAAUUCGAGUUAGAGGUAAUAAACACUGGACCUUUCGUUUGUCUCUAAUCAUUAUAUAUUAUUUUCUUACAUAGCUAAAAACCAAAGUCAAUAAGCUUAUUUUCGUUUGUCUCUAAUCAUUGUUCAUUGAAUGGAUUUCGUAUUCAUUUAUAGCAUGGAUUUGUGUACCGUGAGCAUGGAAACACACCUGGAUACUACGAUGGACGGUACUGGACAAUGUGGAAGCUUCCAUUGUUCGGAUGCACCGACUCCGCUCAAGUGUUGAAGGAAGUGCAAGAGUGCAAGAAGGAGUACCCUAACGCCUUCAUUAGGAUCAUCGGAUUUGACAACAACCGUCAAGUCCAGUGCAUCAGUUUCAUUGCCUACAAGCCCCCAAGCUUCACUGAUUCUUAAUUAAAUCCUUUCUGGAAUAUUCAAUGUUGACUAUCCGGAACAAUUUUGUAUGGUCAAUGUAAAUUUAAGUAACUAUUAUCUAGCCAACUUAAACGUUGAGCAAUUGUUUUGCGAAAAGUGAAAAAGUUGAAGGUUUAUUUUCUAUCAUUUCCUCUAUAAUUAUAUCUAUUCAUAUCAUUUCAUUUUUGAUCUUAUCACUUUGAACUCUUUCAUCUUCGAUUUAGCUCUUUUAAGCAACAUUUUAUUUCCUUUACAUUUCCCUCCUAAUUUUUGCUUUUGAUUCUCUAGACUAACCUAUAAUAGAAGAGAGACCUUUUUAGAUACCUUUUUGGAAAAACUUUGCACAUGAAAUCAUAACAAAGAUGCCUCAAUAAAUCAAAUCUCGAAAGGGCCAGUACCUUGUGACUUAGAUGGAUGGGCUAGGACGAUCUCGCUUUCGAAAAAAAGAUUUAUUUGAUUUUGCUGUGGGUGGAGCAAUGUUGACUACCUCCGCACUAUUUUCUUGAACGGUUUUGGCUAUUUUGUACCUUGUACGCGCUUCUGCUCACGGGAAAUUUGUGAGCUUUAAGUUGGUAUUGUGGAUCCAUGACCAUAGCUUCUUCCUGUGGCCUUAGGGAGAGUUCUUGCCUCGGUUCCACACCGUCCAUUGAAGUGUGCUAUGAAAAUUCCCCACAAUCUGUCAUGUCUUCCAUGCUUAAGUUGACAUGGUGGAAAUCAUCUUGAGGUGCCACAUUUUAAGUGGGCCGUACGUGCAAUGGUGUGGUGCUCCGAAAGGAACGGUAGCAUGGGUUCCUAUAGCAUUGGAUCGUUUUCUAAACAAUAUGCAUUAUGUGUUUAUAAAUUUUAGUAAUUGUACAUACAUGUCCCAGUUUAAAAACAGAUUAACAUACAUUAUAAUUUUAAGGGCUGCCUAUAGCGUUACACCUAUACUAUAGCGUUUCAACUCCUAUCCACCUGUACUUUCGACCUCUGCCCAAUUCACCUUAUACUUGUUUUAAACUUCCUAAUUCCACCUAAACUAUUAAAUUCUCCAUAAUUAACCAAAAUCAAGAACUCUCUAUAAUUGCGAUUAAAAAUCGUUCAAAUCGCGUUUACUGUAGGCCAACCCGAGUCAGAUCCGACCAGCUUCGAAGACUUCUUUCACCAUAAGGGUUUGACUCGUGUUCAUUUGUUUUGUCGGGUCAACCUCGGAUUAAUAUAAACACAUAUUUUUUUACUGCAAUUUGAACUAUUUUUAAUCGUAAUUAUAGAGAGUUGGGCAGAUGUCGAAAGUACAUGUGGAUAGGAGUUGAAACGAUAUAUAUAGUAUAGUUGUAACGCUAUAGGCAGCCCUAAUUUUAAUAAGAAUGAUAUAAACUCAACUAAACUUCCUCUUCUUAGUUUGAAACUUUGCAUGACCAUUAACUCUCUUAUACUGCAUAAGACAUAAUUAGUGACAUAUUUUUUUCUUUCUAUUAUCAAUAUUUUCGUUAGCAUGUACUCGUUGUAAGAUGAAUAGAGAAAUAAUUGAAUUAUGAAAUAACGAAAUCAAUGUAUAUAUAUAUAAAACAAAAACAAUUUUACGCUGAACAAUUUUUUUUUAAAAAAAGGCAAAAAAAUUGCUUGUUUCAUAUUAUAGGAUGUUUUGGACCUUUUUUUUUGUUUCACAAUAUAUAAUGCUUUGAAGAAAAAAUACAAGUUUCUAUGUAAAACAUUAAAUUUAAUAGAUUAUUGACUAUUUACAUUAUGCAGUAAAUUAUAUCACUGAUUAAAUUAUUUUUAAUAGAUAUUAAUUUUUGUUUUAAUGUUAAAAACUCAAGAUUAGUUAAUUUCUUAAACUUUGUGCUUUCAUCUUUUUUUUUAUCUUUUUUUUUUGUCAUCCGAAAUUAAUUAUACCUCAAAAGAGAGAGUAUUAUUUGAAACAAAGAGAGUAUUAUUUAGCAGAUAAAUGACUUUUAUCUGAUUUAAUUAUAAUUUUAAAAUGUGCGGGAUGAAUUAAAAGAUCAUUUAUCAUUUUUCACGUUUUGUUUUUUUCCAGUUAGGUUUUUGUGAAUGGUUUUUACUCAGCGUAAUCAUGUUUUAAGAACAAGAACGUGAGAAAGUUAACAAAAUACCGUUGCAAGACUUUAUUUUUGUUUUACACAAAAUGUAGUUUUAUAUUUUCAAAGUAGUUUUUUUUAAUAGAAUUUACUUAUAUUCUUUUUAGUUAAGAUAAUCAAAUGGGAAAAUAAAAAUAUUAAUGUGUUAAUACAAGAUAAUAGAAAUUUAAUCAUUUUAAUAUAUAUGUAAAAAGUAUUCAACCGAUAUUUACAAUUAGACAGAACUAAGAAGUAUUAAAUUUCUCACCUCACCUCCCAAAAGAAAGGAGCCAAAAGCAACCGAUCAAGUGGAGACCAGUACUAGCCAUACACAUUCACUCGUUCCCUUACAAGAGAAAGAUAAGAUUAUGGAGUUUUCUGCCACUUGGUCUUAUCCUAGUGGUCCGAAUUGAUAAGGGUUUCAACACCUUUCCUUAAUCCUGUGGCAAUUAACGACGUUAUCAUGAAUUAUGGCCACUUUGAUCAUUAGGGCUUUUUGCCUUGCAGUUCUCACUAUAUAAAGAUGACCAAAUCAAUCGACAAACAAGUAAAAGAAACAACAAGAAGUAGUGAUGGCUUCAUCUAUGCUCUCCUCUGCCGCUAUGGUUACCUCCCCAGCUCAAGCCACCAUGGUCGCUCCAUUCACCGGCUUGAAGUCAUCCGCUGCUUUCCCGGUCACCCGCAAGGCCAACAACGACAUUACUUCUAUCUCAAGCAACGGCGGAAGAGUUAGCUGCAUGAAGGUAAUGUCCUAUAAAAACUGUAUUUUGUCAUGUGUAAUUAGUGAAAUUGAACAAAACUUAGAAUAAUUGGAAUUGGGAGUUAUAGGUGUGGCCACCAAUUGGAAAGAAGAAGUUUGAGACUCUAUCUUACCUCCCUGACCUUACUGACGUCGAAUUGGCUAAGGAAGUUGACUACCUUCUCCGCAACAAGUGGAUUCCUUGUGUUGAAUUCGAGUUAGAGGUACUAAACACCGAACUUUUCCUUUGUCUCUAAUCAUCCUUUAUUAUUUCUGUUCAUUGGUAGAAACAUAAGUCAAUAACCGGAUUUUAAAACCCGAAAUAGACUAUAACCGUGUGACUCCUCGACUAUCAAUGGUAUUGAAUGGUUUUGUCAUCUGUUUAUAGCACGGAUUUGUGUACCGUGAGCACGGAAACACUCCCGGAUACUACGAUGGACGGUACUGGACAAUGUGGAAGCUUCCAUUGUUCGGAUGCACCGAUUCUGCUCAAGUGUUGAAGGAAGUGCAAGAAUGCAAGAAGGAGUACCCUAAUGCCUUCAUUAGGAUCAUCGGAUUCGACAACAACCGUCAAGUCCAAUGCAUCAGUUUCAUUGCCUACAAGCCCCCAAGCUUCACCGAUGCUUAAUUCCCUUUCUGGAAUGUUCAACGUUGACUAGUAUUUCGGAAUCCAAUUCUAUGUGGUCAAUGCAAAUUUAAGAAAUUAAUUAGCCGACUUAAAAGUUGAGGAAUUAUUGUGUGAAAGUGAAAAAUUUGAAGGUUUUUUCUAUCAAUUUCCUUAUAAUUAUAUUUACUCAUUUGAUUUCAUUUUUUUUCUUCUAGCUCUUUGAGCUCUAUUUUUCGUUUAGCUCCUUUUGACAACAUUCCGGUUCAUUUAAAUUCUCCUCAUUAUUCUUGCUUUUGAGAAAUUGGCUACAUUGUUUCGAGAAAUUUUGCACAUGAAAGCAUAACAAAGAUGCCUCAAUUUAUCAAACCUCGAUGAUUUAGAACAAAAGAUUAUUUAAGGGGGUGUAACCUUUUAAGAUGAAAUAGCCAUUGGAGAUAGCAAAAGGUAGUAAAAGACGUAUACACUAUAAACAAAAUCCAAAUGUAUGCUUUUAAAAUUAUAAACAUGUAUUCCAAACGCCUAAGUGGAAUAUUCAGUUUAAUUCAAGUCCAAGAAAUGGCAUUAUAUAAAGCAAGGAUCGACAAAGACUGAAAUUUGUCUAGCAUGAAGUUACUAAAUUUUGGAAAUUGUGUUCACGUUAAAAGCUGAAACUUAACAGUUAUUUAUAAGGAAAAGCAGUUAAUGUUCCCAAAAAGUUCUAAAUGAAACUAGAAACCAAAUGAUAAAGAAAACGUAGCAUCUACAUGUUUGGUUUUAGUUUUUUUUUUUUUGACAAAAAUAUUCAAAUGUUUUUAGAUUCUUCUAUGCAAACGAUAUAUAGAAAAUAUAUACAUGAUUCAAAUAUAAUACAAAUAAAAAUAAUUAUUGAAAUUACCGAACAUUUUUUUGCAUCUCCCUGAUUUACUUCCCACAUUUUCGUUUCAAAUAAAAUUCAAGAAAAAGAAAGACGACGAAAAAAAAUGACUUAAAAAGACAAGGGACAGAAGCUGGUAACUUAGAUGGAUGGGUUAGGACUAUCUCACUUUCGAAAAAUGUUUAUUUGGUUGAGGUGCGGAGUGGAGUGGAGCUUGUGAUUCUUUGCCCUAUAUGAGAGUUUUUUCGUGACCAAUUAUGGUGAUUGUGUACUUUGUAUACAUGUUUCUUCUCAUAUGGUUGAAAUGGGGGCAUUUGUGAGCUUUAAGGUGGCAGUCUUGAUCCACGACCAUAGCUUUACAUGACUUUAAGGUGAGUUCUUGCCUUGGUUCUACACCGUUGAUUGAAAUGAAUUAUGAAAAUUCCUCAUGAUCCGCCAUUUUUACAUGCUAAGUUUUUUUUUUUUGAAAAAUGCAUGCUUAAGUUGAAACGGUGGUUAUCAACUUGAGGUGCCAUAUUUGUGAUUAAGUGGGCCGUAAGUGCAACGGCGUGGUACUCAAAGAGGAACGGUGGGGUGGGUUUCACAUCGUGAUUGUGAUGUGAGUAUGUAUGUGACCAGAGUCCAGGGCCGGCUCAAAAUUAUUCGAGACCUUGUGCUGAUGUAUAAAAAUUGGUUUUUAAAUAAUAUAGUGAAAAUUUUGGACCCUCAAUCUUAGAGGAAAUUGAAAUUUUUUUUUGAGGACCCUGUGCUUUUGCUCCUCUAGCACACCCUUAGAGCUGGCACUGCCAGAGUCACAAGAUAAUCGUGAGCUGGUCUUACUUGUUGAUCGAGAGGCAGCAUUAACUCAUAUAGAAGAAACCAUGGACCUCCGACCUUGGGAGGUUUUCUUGGAAAUUCUUCCAUGAUGGAAGCUUACCGCAUGAGCAUGAUACAGGUAGAUGCAUGAUGGUUUCGGUUGUUUGCUCGAUCGCUUUCUACCACAAACAUAUCUUGCAUCUAAUUGUUGUUGCCUUGUUGGUUCUCAAAUAUUUACUCUCGAAACAGUAAGAUGUUGUUAGCCAUACGUAAAUCAGAAAUAAAAGUAUAGUUGGCUAAAACUGCAGUGAGUAUAGAAUUAACCGAUAUCAAUUUAUUCAAAUUUCCGUCUCUCUUUUCUUUUGUUGGCUAAUAUAUUAUCAUUUGAAGAUAAUAUAUAGUUUUUCCAAGAAAAGAAUAUUGACAAUUUUUUUGUGGUAAGUGAUUUUAAGAAUGACUCCAGAAUCGACAGGUUACCCAGACAAUAUUUAUCAUGGAUAAACCUAUCGAAAAAUCUUAAAAAUCAGUAUUAAUAAAACGGAAGUAGUAAUGAACUUCUAAGCUAUGCAUUACAAUACAUUUAUCUCAAUGUCGAAUUUAAAUAAUUUUCUUAGAACUCCUUUUUUAAUGCGACCUUAUUCACCAAAUCAAGUGAAGCCAAAUUAAAUCAUGCAUGGUAAAUAAAAUAUCCAAAAGCAUUAAAUUUAAGGUAAUGCGUCUGAUUUCUUUCCUCCCAAACGAAAGGAGCCAAAAGCAACCGAUCAAGUGGAAACCAAUAACCACACAUUCACUUCGUUUCCCCCACAAGAGAAGAUAAGAUAAUGGAGUUUUCUGCCACGUGGCAUUAUCCUAGUGGUCCGUACCGAUAAGGGUGUCAACACCUUUCCUUAAUCCUGUGGCAGUAAACGACGUUAUCAUGAAUUAUGGACCCUUUGAUCAUGAGGGGCUUUUUUCCUGUUGCGGUUCUCACUAUAUAAAGAUGACAAAACCAGUAGACAAACAAGUAAGUAAGAGAAAAGAGCAAAAGAAGAAGAGAAACAACAAGAAGUAGUAAUGGCUUCCUCUAUGCUCUCCUCGGCCGCUGUGGUUACCUCCCCGGCUCAAGCCACCAUGGUCGCUCCAUUCUCCGGCUUGAAGUCAUCCGCUGCUUUCCCGGUCACCCGCAAGGCCAACAACGACAUUACUUCCAUCGCAAGCAACGGGGGAAGAGUUAGCUGCAUGAAGGUAAAGUAAAGUCAUUAAUGAAAGAUGUCUUUUGUCAUGGCAAUUAGUGUAAUUGAACAAAACAUAGAAUAAUUGGAAUUGGAUUCGGGAAUUAUAGGUAUGGCCACCAAUCGGAAAGAAGAAGUUUGAGACUUUAUCUUACCUCCCUGACCUUACUGACGUCGAAUUGGCUAAGGAAGUUGACUACCUUCUCCGCAACAAGUGGAUUCCUUGUGUUGAAUUCGAGUUAGAGGUAAUAAACACUGAACCUUUCCUUUGUCUCUAAUCAUUAUAUAUUAUUUUCUUACAUAGCUAAAAACCAAAGUCAAUAAGCUUAUUUUCUACACCAAAGUUGAGGCUAUCAUUGUCCAUCGAAUGGUUUUCUUAUGUGUUUAUAGCAC